UACGGAGGAUGCGAGCGUUAUCCGGAUUUAUUGGGUUUAAAGGGUGCGUAGGCGGACUGUCAAGUCAGCGGUAGAAUUGAGAGGCUCAACCUCUUCCCGCCGUUGAAACUGGUGGUCUUGAGUGGAUGAGAAGUACGCGGAAUGCGUGGUGUAGCGGUGAAAUGCAUAGAUAUCACGCAGAACUCCGAUUGCGAAGGCAGCGUACCGGCAUCCAACUGACGCUGAGGCACGAAAGCGUGGGGAGCAAACAGG
rnacentral:rRNA from 1 species